GCUGAAUCAACUCAUUGGAGAGUUUGAUCCUGGCUCAGGACGAACGCUGGCGGCGUGCUUAACACAUGCAAGUCAAGGGGGCCCGCAAGGGCAACCGGC
rnacentral:rRNA from 1 species